UGUGUGUGUGUGUGUGUGUCUGUGUGUGUGUGUGUGUGUGUCUGUGUGUGUGUCUGUGUGUGUGUGUGUGGUACUGUAAUGGGCAGAAGCUCAGGCACACACACACACACACACACAUGCAGUCUGUGUCUCACACAUAUUCGUUCUUCUUUCUGUUGCGCACGCCAUCCACUAAUCUUGUAAUUUAUUAUUUUGACGAAAAGUCAUGCCAUCUUGUUCUACCAAAUAACAAAAACAAAAAAAGACCUAUUAGAGAUCUAUCACCUUUCUUAUAGCUAUUUGGGUACUGGAUGUCAAGGAAGAAGAAAACCAGUUGUAGCGAGCAAACGUACCUGACCACACUGUGUUUAAUUGUUAUGGUGUGGCGACCUGCUGACUUGACCAUAUAUGGCAUCAACUGAUGUGUGUGUGUGUGUGUGUGUGUGUUUCUGUGUGUGUGUGUGAAGCUGCGCAGGAGCCAAUCACGUGGCUCGUCAGUGGCGGGUUUUGUAUUUCUAGUUAAAAUAAUUGUUCUUCAUGCUGCGACACGUUUUGUUUUUUAUUUUAUUUUAUUUUAUUUUAUUUUAUUUUAUUAUUUCACCCCAGAAAGCACUUAGGUCUUUUGAUUGCAUGCACAAUGUACAUCACGCCGUAUGUCUUAGAUCGCACUCUUGAUGCCUGAGCUCGAUCUCUUUUCUUUUUUUCCAGCGAAUGUAUUACUUUAACCUACGUCAGUUAUUUAUUUCGAGCUGAAACGAGAUUUAUCGUGUCUAAUCAUUUCUUUGUGUAUUUGUUCGAGAUGCUCGGUUUGUUUGUUUUUUUGCUCCGGCUUUUUUACGGUGCACUAGACAGCAGCGAUUGUUCAAUCCCCAACACACACACACACACACACACACACACGUGCACUAGACAGCAGCGAUUGUACAAUCCCCAACACACACACACACACACACACACACACACACACGUGCACUAGACAGCAGCGAUUGUACAAUCCCCAACACACACACACACACACACACACACGUGCACUAGACAGCAGCGAUUGUUCAAUCCCCAACACACACACACACACGCACGCACACACACACACACACACACACACACACACACACACACACGUGCACUAGACAGCAGCGAUUGUACAAUCCCCAACACACACACACACACACACACACACACACACACGUGCACUAGACAGCAGCGAUUGUACAAUCCCCAACACACACACACACACACACACACACGUGCACUAGACAGCAGCGAUUGUACAAUCCCCAAAGAUGUGCGGACAUGCCCCUGCGAAGCUUGGAUGCGGAGAAGGAACAAAACAAACAAACAAAAAAUGCGGAAAUGCCAGCCUCACCAAAUCCUACUAACCCACUCUACCAGCACUCUGUACAGUGGGUAGGUGAACUCAGACUGCGCUAUGAGAACAGUCAGCAAGGGCGGGGAUGGAUAGCUGCAGGUGUGUGUGUUAUGGCACCAGUUAACCACCACUGUCCAGCGUAAACAGAAAGCUGGUGUGUGUGUGUGUGUGUGUGUGUGUGUGUGUGUGUGUGCAGUGCCUCCUGUUAUAGCCAACCGUGUGCAGUGAUGUGCUUUCAUUCUCUCUCUCUCUGUAUUUGCAUGGGAUGUUUUUGUACUGCAAAAAAAAUGGCAUCUUAAAUAAAUUUCAUUAUUUUAUGUA